UAUUGGUCAAUGGGCGAGAGCCUGAACCAGCCAAGUCGCGUGAGGGACGACUGCCCUAUGGGUUGUAAACCCCUUUUGUAUGGGGGGAAUAAGCUUUACGAGUAGAGUGAUGACAGUACCAUACGAAUAAGCAUCGGCUAACUCCGUGCCAGCAGCCGCGGUAAUACGGAGGAUGCGAGCGUUCUCCGGAUUUAUUGGGUUUAAAGGGUGCGUAGGCGGCAUUAUAAAGUAGUGGUAAAAUAUUGGGGCUUCACCUCACUACGUCAUUAAUACUGUAGGGCUAGAGAACAGACGAGGUAGGCGGAAUAAGUUAAGUAGCGGUGAAAUGCAUAGAUAUAACUUAGAACACCGAUAGCGAAAGCAGCUUACCAGACUGAGUCUGACGCUGAUGCACGAGAGCAUGGGUAGCGAACAGG
rnacentral:rRNA from 1 species